UGCGGCGUGGUGGGCGCGGUGGGGCCGCGCGGCGUGGAACCGGCCGGGCGGCCGGGGGCGUUGUUCCGGUCCGCGCGCCGCUGC
rnacentral:tRNA from 1 species